GAUGAACGCUGGCGGCGUGCCUAAUACAUGCAAGUCGAGCGAACAGACGAGGAGCUUGCUCCUCUGACGUUAGCGGCGGACGGGUGAGUAACACGUGGAUAACCUACCUAUAAGACUGGGAUAACUUCGGGAAACCGGAGCUAAUACCGGAUAACAUGUUGAACCGCAUGGUUCAACAGUGAAAGACGGUCUUGGUGUCACUUAUAGAUGGAUCCGCGCCGCAUUAGCUAGUUGGUAAGGUAACGGCUUACCAAGGCAACGAUGCGUAGCCGACCUGAGAGGGUGAUCGGCCACACUGGAACUGAGACACGGUCCAGACUCCUACGGGAGGCAGCAGUAGGGAAUCUUCCGCAAUGGGCGAAAGCCUGACGGAGCAACGCCGCGUGAGUGAAGAAGGUCUUCGGAUCGUAAAACUCUGUUAUUAGGGAAGAACAAAUGUGUAAGUAACUAUGCACGUCUUGACGGUACCUAAUCAGAAAGCCACGGCUAACUACGUG
rnacentral:rRNA from 1 species